UGUGCCGGGUAGGGGACACCCUCCACAGUUGGCAACCGUUGGCUGGUUGUGAACCGUUCAUAACGGGCGUUCGUAACCACGCCCUGUUAGACUGAACGUGGUCCACCCGCGAAGCCUCAGAUGGCCAAGUGCUGGAGUCCUGGCUGCGGCUUCUGAGCCAGGCCUUGGCAGGCAGCUGCUGACAUGCCAGAGCCCUAUGAAGUAUUGAAGGCACCUGGGGUUCAGGCCCCCUGGAAGCCCAGCCCUCCCUCACCCUUCGGGGACACUGGAACUGGCCAAAUGAGGAUGGCUGCUGGGAGACAAGUGUCAGCCCUGCCCCUGGAUCUUCUCCAAGAUGACAUUGGACUCGCCACUAUCUUGAGGAGCCAGGAGCUGAAGUGGCUCCAGCUUAGCAGUCCACACUUAGCAAUCCACUGUGGCCAAAGUGGAAAUGUUCUCUGUUCUUUGCAGUCACCAAAAAAAAAAAAAAAAGUAUAGUCUCA